rnacentral:rRNA from 1 species
AGAGUUUGAUCCUGGCUCAGGACGAGCGCUGGCGGCGUGCCUAACACAUGCAAGUCGAGCGGAGACAUUAAGGAGCUUGCUCCGAGAUGUUUUAGCGGCGGACGGGUGAGUAACGCGUGAGCAAUCUGUCCCAUACAGGGGGAUAACACUUGGAAACAGGUGCUAAUACCGCAUGAGACCACAACGUCACAUGGCGAAGGGGUCAAAGGAGCAAUCCGGUAUGGGGUGAGCUCGCGUCCGAUUAGCUAGUUGGUGAGGUAACGGCCCACCAAGGCGACGAUCGGUAGCCGACCUGAGAGGGUGAUCGGCCACAUUGGAACUGAGAGACGGUCCAAACUCCUACGGGAGGCAGCAGUGGGGAAUAUUGGGCAAUGGGCGAAAGCCUGACCCAGCAACGCCGCGUGAGGGAAGAAGGUUUUCGGAUUGUAAACCUCUGUCCUUGGGGACGAAGGAAGUGACGGUACCCAAGGAGGAAGCCCCGGCUAACUACGUGCCAGCAGCCGCGGUAAUACGUAGGGGGCGAGCGUUGUCCGGAAUGACUGGGCGUAAAGGGCGCGUAGGCGGCUCGGUAAGUUAGAAGUGAAAGUCCUGCUUUCAAGGUGGGAAUUGCUUUUAAUACUGUCGGGCUUGAGUGCAGAAGAGGUAAGCGGAAUUCCAAGUGUAGCGGUGAAAUGCGUAGAGAUUUGGAAGAACACCAGUGGCGAAGGCGGCUUACUGGGCUGUAACUGACGCUGAGGCGCGAAAGCGUGGGGAGCGAACAGGAUUAGAUACCCUGGUAGUCCACGCCGUAAACGAUGACUACUAGGUGUCGGGCAGCAAAGCUGUUCGGUGCCGCAGCAAACGCAAUAAGUAGUCCACCUGGGGAGUACGUUCGCAAGAAUGAAACUCAAAGGAAUUGACGGGGACCCGCACAAGCGGUGGAGCAUGUGGUUUAAUUCGAAGCAACGCGAAGAACCAUACCUGCUCUUGACAUCUCCCUGACCGGCAAGUAAUGUUGCCUUUCCUUCGGGACAGGGAUGACAGGUGGUGCAUGGUUGUCGUCAGCUCGUGUCGUGAGAUGUUGGGUUAAGUCCCGCAACGAGCGCAACCCCUAUCUUUAGUAGCCAGCGGUUUGGCCGGGCACUCUAGAGAGACUGCCAGGGAUAACCUGGAGGAAGGUGGGGAUGACGUCAAAUCAUCAUGCCCCUUAUGAGCAGGGCUACACACGUGCUACAAUGGCGUAAACAAAGGGAGGCAGAACCGCGAGGUCGAGCAAAUCCCAAAAAUAACGUCUCAGUUCGGAUUGUAGUCUGCAACUCGACUACAUGAAGCUGGAAUCGCUAGUAAUCGCGAAUCAGAAUGUCGCGGUGAAUACGUUCCCGGGUCUUGUACACACCGCCCGUCACACCAUGGGAGUCAGUAACGCCCGAAGUCAGUGACCCAACCGUAAGGAGGGAGCUGCCGAAGGUGGGACCGAUAACUGGGGUGAAGUCGUAACAAGGUA